UACGGGGGGUGCGAGCGUUGUCCGGAAUCACUGGGCGUAAAGAGCGUGUAGGCGGCCCGGUAAGUCCGCUGUGAAAGUCGGGGGCUCAACCCUCGAAAGCCGGUGGAUACUGUCGGGCUAGAGUGCGGAAGAGGCGAGUGGAAUUCCUGGUGUAGCGGUGAAAUGCGCAGAUAUCAGGAGGAACACCGAUUGCGAAGGCAGCUCGCUGGGACGUAACUGACGCUGAGACGCGAAAGCGUGGGGAGCAAACAGG
rnacentral:rRNA from 1 species